CCGACGGUGAGAGGCGAAAGCUGGGGGAGCAAACCGGAUUAGAUACCCGGGUAGUCCCAGCUGUAAACGAUGCGCGUUAGGUGUGUCAGUGACCACGUGUCACUGAUGUGCCGAAGGGAAACCGUGAAACGCGCCGCCUGGGGAGUACGGUCGCAAGGCUGAAACUUAAAGGAGUUGGCGGGGGAGCACCACAACGGGUGGAGCCUGCGGUUUAAUCGGACUCAACGCCGGAAAUCUCACCGGAUAA
rnacentral:rRNA from 1 species